rnacentral:ncRNA from 2 species
GUCGCGCGAUCGGGAGAGUUUGUCCCACCCAUGGACAACGCCGAAGGAGCAAGCCGCCCCCGGAAUCUCUCAGGCCCAAGGACCGGUCGCGUGUU